GAAGCUUGGGAAGUCAUAGGCCUGGACCUCAUUGGACCACUACGUGAGACAAGCAGAGGGAACAAAUACAUAUUGACCAUGACGGAUCUCUAUACGAAAUGGGUUGUCGCCGAACCGCUGAUGUCAAAGACUGCGAGUGAGGUGUCUACGGCCAUCAUCCUGAAGCUGUAUUCAUUUGGCUGUCAGGAAAAUCAUCACUGACCAAGGGAAAGAGUUUGUCAAUGAGCUGAAUGACAACAUUUUCAGACUUCUGAAGAUUAAGCAUGCUGUCUGAAGUGCUUACCAUCCACAAACCAAUGGCCAGGAUGAAAGGACAAAUCAAAAUAUUAAACUCUGAAGAAAUACGUCAACGAAAGCCACAUUGACUGGGACCUCCACCUGCCUGCAGUUGUCUAUGGCAUUAACACUGCCAAGCAAUCUUCCACCAGGCAUACUCCCUACUUCUUGUUGUUCCAUCGACAUCCUCGUUUACCUGAAGUUAUUAACACAUGUCCUAUGGAAGACAACUUUGAAGUUGGGGAUCCAGAAGAAGACCUUGAUGCCAGGGUGAAGGAAU